GUGCCAGCCGCCGCGGUAAUACCGGCAGUUCGAGUGAUGGCCGAUAUUAUUGGGCCUAAAGCGUUCGUAGCUGGCCGAUCAAGUCUGUCGGGAAAUCUGCUCGCUCAACGAGCAGGCGUCCGGCGGAAACUGUUCGGCUUGGGACCGGAAGACUCGAGGAGUACGUCCGGGGUAGGAGUGAAAUCCCGUAAUCCUGGACGGACUACCGAUGGCGAAAGCACCUCGAGAGCACGGAUCCGACAGUGAGGAACGAAAGCUGGGGUCUCGAACCGGAUUAGAAACCCCUGUAGUCC
rnacentral:rRNA from 1 species